CCUACGGGGGGCAGCAGUGGGGAAUUUUCCGCAAUGGGCGCAAGCCUGACGGAGCGACGCCGCGUGAGUGAAGAAGGCCUUCGGGUUGUAAAGCUCUGUCCUAUGGGAAGAAGGAAGUGACGGUACCAUAGGAGGAAGCCACGGCUAACUACGUGCCAGCAGCCGCGGUAACACGUAGGUGGCAAGCGUUGUCCGGAAUUACUGGGCGUAAAGGGCACGCAGGCGGAUAUUUAAGUCAGAUCUGUAAUCUGUAGGCUUAACCAACAGCUCGGGUCUGAAACUGGCUAUCUUGAGGAUAGGAGAGGACAGUAGAAUUCCUAGUGUAGCGGUGAAAUGCGUAGAUAUUAGGAGGAAUACCAGUGGCGAAGGCGGCUGUCUGGCCUAUCACUGACGCUGAGGUGCGAAAGCACGGGUAGCAAACAGGAUUAGAUACCCGAGUAGUC
rnacentral:rRNA from 2 species